rnacentral:rRNA from 1 species
AGUCGAACGGAAAGGCCCUGCUUGCAGGGUACUCGAGUGGCGAACGGGUGAGUAACACGUGGGUGAUCUGCCCUGCACUUCGGGAUAAGCUUGGGAAACUGGGUCUAAUACCGGAUAGGAACCAUCUUUAGUGUGGUGGUUGGAAAGUUUUUUCGGUGUAGGAUGAGCUCGCGGCCUAUCAGCUUGUUGGUGGGGUAAUGGCCUACCAAGGCGGCGACGGGUAGCCGGCCUGAGAGGGUGUACGGCCACAUUGGGACUGAGAUACGGCCCAGACUCCUACGGGAGGCAGCAGUGGGGAAUAUUGCACAAUGGGCGCAAGCCUGAUGCAGCGACGCCGCGUGGGGGAUGAAGGCCUUCGGGUUGUAAACUCCUUUCGCUAGGGACGAAGCUUUUUGUGACGGUACCUAGAUAAGAAGCACCGGCUAACUACGUGCCAGCAGCCGCGGUAAUACGUAGGGUGCGAGCGUUGUCCGGAGUUACUGGGCGUAAAGGGCUCGUAGGUGGUUUGUCGCGUCGUCUGUGAAAUUCUGGGGCUUAACUCCGGGCGUGCAGGCGAUACGGGCAUAACUUGAGUGCUGUAGGGGUAACUGGAAUUCCUGGUGUAGCGGUGAAAUGCGCAGAUAUCAGGAGGAACACCGAUGGCGAAGGCAGGUUACUGGGCAGUUACUGACGCUGAGGAGCGAAAGCAUGGGUAGCGAACAGGAUUAGA